UAGUGAGGGGAUGUUGGAGGAGGAGCAUUUUCUAGAGGCCUGUUGGGAGGGGAUGGCCUUUCUUCCCUGGUGGGAAAACUCUCCUUGUGAAGAAGGCCCCUCCCCCCUGUGAGCCACUCUCUGAAGGUGCCUUACAUCCGACGCCAGUGCUGAUUCCUGUCUCUUAAAGAGUGAGAGUUGUCAACAGUCUUGGGAAAAUGUCUGGGACCUUUCAGGGAGAUACAUCCUUGUUACCUCUUCAGGAACUUCUGGGAGAUGAGAUCAUUGAUGACUUUGUCUCACGCUAUGCUGGUCCUAAUGUGGAGCAACACAGUUCUACCAGCAGGUCCUUCUACUCUCCUUCAUGCUGGACUGCAUGGACCUGUUUCAUCACUCUGGAU
rnacentral:lncRNA from 1 species